rnacentral:misc_RNA from 1 species
UUUUGUUGGGCACGCCCAAAUGGUUUCAACCAACCCUUUCACCCUAAGGGCACCCCCGGGUGGGUUCCCUUUUUGGCUCGUCCCGAAGGGGG